rnacentral:rRNA from 1 species
GCAAUGGGCGCAAGCCUGACGGAGCAAGACCGCGUGCGGGAGGACGGCCUAUUGGUUGUAAACCGCUUUUGAUAGGGAAGAAGUUCUGACGGUACCUAUCGAAUCAGCAUCGGCUAACUCCGUGCCAGCAGCCGCGGUAAUACGGAGGAUGCAAGCGUUAUCCGGAAUUAUUGGGCGUAAAGCGUCCGUAGGUGGUUGUUCAAGUCUGCUGUUAAAGCGUGCGGCUUAACCGCAUACCAGCAGUGGAAACUGGGCGACUAGAGUGCGGUAGGGGUCAGGGGAAUUCCCAGUGUAGCGGUGAAAUGCGUAGAUAUUGGGAAGAACACCGGUGGCGAAAGCGCCU